UAAUUCGUGGUUCAGUGGUAGAAUACUCGCCUGUAACGCGAGCGACUCCGGCUCGACUCCCGGCCAAUGCAUAA